GCCCCAAUAGCUCAGUGGUAGAGCUACUGUAUGUGUAAAGCUCCUAGCAAUUCUCGGCCCUAUACUGGGUAUGGAACUCCUAUAUUUUACUCCCUAUAAUGGGUGAGAUCUGGGUGAAAGCGCCUAGCAAUAACUGUCAGGAGGUCCCAGGUUCGAAUCCUGCCCGGUGGCU
rnacentral:tRNA from 1 species